rnacentral:rRNA from 1 species
GAGGACCGUGGUGGACGAACCGCUAGUGUACCAGUUGUGGCGCCAGCUGCAUCGCUGGGUAGCUAUGUUCGGACGGGAUAAGCGCUGAAAGCAUCUAAGCACGAAGCCCACCUCAAGAUGAGACUUCUUCAUAAGGGUCGUAGAAGACUACUACGUUGAUAGGCCACAGGUGUAAAGUCAGCAAUGGCAAAGCCGAGUGGUACUAAUUACCCGUAGACUUUGACCUU